rnacentral:rRNA from 1 species
UGGGGAAUAUUGCACAAUGGAGGGAACUCUGAUUCAGCGACGCCGCGUGAACGAAGAAGGCUUUCGAGUCGUAAAGUUCUUUUAUAUGGGAAGAUAAUGGCGGUACCAUAAGAAAAAGCCCCGGCUAACUACGUGCCAGCAGCCGCGGUAAUACGUAGGGGGCUAGCGUUGUCCGGAAUCACUGGGCGUAAAGGGUUCGCAGGCGGAAAUGCAAGUCAGGUGUAAAAGGCAGUAGCUUAACUACUGUAAGCAUUUGAAACUGCAUAUCUUGAGAAGAGUAGAGGUAAGUGGAAUUUUUAGUGUAGCGGUGAAAUGCGUAGAUAUUAAAAAGAAUACCGGUGGCGAAGGCGACUUACUGGGCUCAUUCUGACGCUGAGGAACGAAAGCGUGGGUAGCAAACGGG